rnacentral:rRNA from 1 species
GUCUUCUGUGUUUUGCCUACUGGUGGACGUGCGUAGUUUAUGAGUUUGGAUUGCCUUCGGGUGGUUCGGCUUGUAGCUUGCUGUUCACUUCGCGGGUGAAACUUCUUAGAGAGACAGAUUGCCUAAGCUAUACGAAAUUGAGCAAUAACAGGUCUGUGAUGCCCUUAGAUGUCCGGGGCCGCACGCGCGCUACAAUGACGGUUCCAGCGAGUAUGACCUCCUGGCCCGAGAGGGUUAGGCAAACUGGUCCAUGACCGUCGUGACAGGGAUCGGGGUUUGUAAUUAUCCCCCGUGAACGAGGAAUUCCCAGUAAGUGCAAGUCAUAAGCUUGUGCUGAUUACGUCCCUGCCCUUUGUACACACCGCCCGUCGCUACUACCGAUUGAAUGGUUUGGUAAGGCCUUCGGAUUGGUGCCAUUGUAAUGCUUUCGGGCGUUCGACAGGUGCUGAGAAGAGGACCAAACUUGAUCAUUUAGAGGAAGUAAAAGUCGUAACAAGGUUUCCGUAGGUGAACCUGCGGAAGGAUCAUUACAAUUGCUAACAAAUUAUGCUGGUAAAUUACCUGGGACAGGUACAUUGCCGGGGGCCAUGAGCCCAAGACCGGCCAAAACAAGGCUAGCCCUUGUACCCAGUCGCGUGACCCCCUCUCGGGGCGGGUUCCGGUUGGGUUUACCGUAUCAUUUCUGAUUUGGGGUGCCUAGCUCACCGCUCCGGUGGUGGGACAAUACAUGUGGCUUAAAUAGGAGUUCGCUCCUGCCCCGGUACCUAAGGUCUUCCUUCGGGUUGGCCGUAGUGCUUUCACGUCUGCUCUCGGGUUGGCGUGUUAGUGCAAGGUGUAAAGAGUUGAGCUGUGGCUUCGGCUGCAGUGCGACCGCCAACAAACUUUGUCUACACUGUACCAGUCGUUACCUCGUACAUCGUAUGGUGUGGGGGGCCGGCUCCUGUGUGAACGUGUGUGGGGGGUUCGCCCUCUGUGUGCGUUACAUGCAGGGAUUGCCUUCACUGGGCCUCCCGGUGUUGGUGAUCAACUGGCGUUGGAGCUUCGGCUCUUUGCCCUUCAGUACAACUCUAGAGCAGGCGCGCAGUA